rnacentral:rRNA from 1 species
AUUGAACGCUGGCGGCAUGCCUUACACAUGCAAGUCGAACGGCAGCACGGGUGCUUGCACCUGGUGGCGAGUGGCGAACGGGUGAGUAAUAUAUCGGAACGUACCUUAUUGUGGGGGAUAACGCAGCGAAAGCUGUGCUAAUACCGCAUAAUCCCUAAGGGGGAAAGCGGGGGACCGUAAGGCCUCGCGCAAUUAGAGCGGCCGAUACCUGAUUAGCUAGUUGGUGAGGUAAAGGCGAACCAAGGCAACGAUCAGUAGCUGGUCUGAGAGGAUGAUCAGCAACACUGGGAGUGAGACACCGCCCAGACUCCUACGGGAGGCAGCAGUGGGGAAUUUUGGGCAAUGGGGGCAACCCUGAUCCAGCAAUGCCGCGUGAGUGAAGAAGGCCUUCGGGUUGUAAAGCUCUUUUGUCAGGGAAGAAACAGCAGCUCUAACACAGUUUGCGAAUGACGGUACCUGAAGAAUAGGCACCGGCUAACUACGUGCCAGCAGCCGCCGCGG